rnacentral:lncRNA from 1 species
GUAAUAUAACAAGAUCUUAAAUUUCGAGCAUGUAAAUAUAUCUCUAUACCAUAAUGUUAUAGACUUGAAAUUCACAAAAUUUAUUGUUUUUCAUUUUUUAUAUGAAAUUGUAUAUUUAAGGAAAAAAAAAACUAAGUCACACGACAUAUGUUUUUUUGGAGAAUUAUUAUUAAAAAAAUAUGCUAAUCCACAAUUGGGGAUAGUUUCUAGCACAAAAUAUAGAAAAAAAUACAAUUUGAAAUUUCUUUGAGAUACAAAUAAUAAAAAAACACUAAAACUAGUAACAACGAUAAUAAUAAUAAUAUUAUGAUAAAUGCUAAUAACAAUAAUAAUGAAGAUGACGACGACGACAACAACAAUAAUAAUAUAUUUAAUCAGCAAAAGUAGAUUACAACUCGUUUAUGACUAUAUAGUCGAAAGACACAUCUUACCUUUUUCAUUAAAGAAUAUGCCAUGUCUUUUCUUGUACUCUCCUGUCGUUUCUCGUAUUUAUGUAGCUGACAUGCAUAAAUAGCAUGCGCCGUCAUUUGCAUUUUCAUAAAAAAGAUGCAUCAUUAGCCAAAGAGGCACUAAGACGACUUUACGGGGACUAUUGAUUAGAAAAUGAUGCGUCAUCUUUGAAGUCGAAUUCCAAAUGAUUUUAAUAUAAGUAAGAGAUUGUUUAUUUUUUUAAUUGUUAUAUCUUGCAUGGAAUAAGAACCAUUACAUUUGAAUUCUAAUUUGAGUCCCAAAAUACUAAUCUAAAUAGGUGAUGAAUUUUAUAAUUUAUAAAAUUACUUAUUUACCAUCCAAUGGAUGGGUUACCGAAUUUUAAUAGUAAUUAUAAUAACAAUUCCAAUUCACAACUACAACCAUUAUAGUAAUAUAUCAAGAUCAUAAAUGUCAGGCAUGUAAAUAUACUGGUGUACUAUAAUGUUGUAGACUUGUAAUUCACAAACUUUAUUUAUUUUUCAUAUUUUUUAUAUGAAAUUAUAUAUUUAAGAGAAAACCAAGUCAUGUGACAUAAUUAUUCAAAAAAUUAUUAUUAAAAAAUAUGCUAAUCAAUCAAUUGGGAAUAGUUUCUACCAUGAAAUGUAGAAAAAAAUGCAGUUUGAAAUCCUUUUGAGAUACAAAUAUUUUUUAAAAAAACUAAAAAUAGUAACCAUGAUAAUACAAAAGUGGUCUAGCUAUGUUGGAAUCGAUUUAAGAUAGAACAUAUUUUCAUAAAUGCAUGAUCAAAGUUAUAAUGUGUUUUUUACUAUUUAUCACUUUGCAUGUGUGGCUAUGAUUUGUGCUCUACCUUAAAGUAGCUCUAAGAUAGCCAUUGCUUAAAAAAUUAAUAUUUUUAUAAAAAAUGUUAAUAACAAUACAAAGAUGAAAAUAAUAGUAGCAGCAACAGUAGUAGUAGUAAUAAUAAUAUCUUUAAUCGGCAAGUUGUUUGUGAAUAUGUAACCGAACAACAUGUCUUACAUUGAAUUUCAAAGACGUCAUGGCGUUUCCUGUAUUCAUGCAGCCAACAUGCGAAAAUGGUAUAACGUUGUGCAUAUAGUAGAUGACUCGCUGUUUAGUUUUUCAUACAAACGACGCGUCGUUAGCCAAUAGACACUAGGACGACUUUACAGGAACUCUAUUGAUUAGAAAAUAAGAAUCAUCUUCAAAGUUUAAUCCCAAAUGAUUUUAAUAUGAGUAAGAGAUUUUUUAUUUUUAAUAGUUACAUGGAAUAGGAAUGAUUACAUUUGAGUUAUAAUUUGAUUCACAAAAACUGACCUAAUUAGUUGAUGAAUUUUAUAAUUUAUAAAAUUACUUAUUUACCAUCUAAUAGAUUUGUUACCAAAUUUUAAUAGUAAUUAUAACAAUAAUUCCAAUCACAACCACAACCAUUAAUUACAAUUAAAAUUGUAAUUACGAUUAUAGUAUUAUAACAAAAUCAUAAAUUUUGGGCAUCUGAAUAUAUCACUGUACUAUAAUGUUGCAGACUUGUAAUUCACAAAAUUUAUUUUUUUUUUUCAUUUUUUUAAUAUAUGAAAUUCUAUAUUUAAGAGAAAACUAAGUUAUGUGACAUAUAUAUUCGAGAAAUUAUUAUUAAAGCUAAUCAAUCAACUAGGAAUAGUUUCUCUGUGAAAUGUAGAAAAAAAUGAUGUUCGAAAUCCCUUUGAGAUACAAAUAUUAAAAAAAACACUAAAAAUAGUAACAACGCUAAUAAAUAAUAAUAAUAAUAAUAAUAAUAAUAAUAAUAAUAAUAAUAAUAAUAAUAAUAUGAAAAAUACUAAUAACAAUAAUAACGAAGAUGAAAAUAAUAAUAAUAAUAAUACUAAUAAUAAUAAUAAUAUUGGCACAGAGGUAGUAGAUGAUAAGUUGUUUAUGAAUAUGCAACUGAAUGACAUGUCUUAGAUGGAAUAUUAAAGAAGACAUCAUGGUGUUUCCUCUAUUGAUGCAGCCGACAUGUGAAAAUGGAAAAAUGCUAUGCACUAGCACAUGUUGUAGAUGACUCAUCGUUUAGUUUUUCAUGAAAACGACACGUCGUUAGUCAAAUAAAUGCUAGGACGACUCUACAAGGCAUGCUCAUCAAAAAAUGGUGCAUCAUCUUCGAAGUCGAAUUCCAAAUGAUUUUAAUACAAGUAAGAGAUUGUUUGUUUUUCUAACAGUUACAUGGAAAGAACCAUUACAUUUGAGUUCUAAUUUGAAUUAUAAAAUGAAAUAAUAACAAUUACAUUUGAGUUCUGAUUUUAGUCCUAAAUACUGACCUAAUUACGUGAUGACCUUAUAAAAUUACUUAUUUACCUUUCAAUAGAUGAGUUACCGAAUUUUAGUAGUAGUUAUAAUAAAAAUUUCAUUCACAACUACAAUUGGUAAUUACAAGUAAAACUGUAAUUACGAUAAUAGUAAUAUAACAAGAUCUUAAAUUUCGAGCAUGUAAAUAUAUCUCUAUACCAUAAUGUUAUAGACUUGAAAUUCACAAAAUUUAUUGUUUUUCAUUUUUUAUAUGAAAUUGUAUAUUUAAACGAAAAAAAAAACUAAGUCACACGACAUAUGUUUUUUUGGGAGAAUUAUUAUUAAAAAAAAUAUGCUAAUCCACAAUUGGGGAUAGUUUCUAGCACAAAUAUAGAAAAAAAUACAUUUGAAAUUUCUUUGAGAUACAAUAUAAAAAACACUAAACUAGUACACGAUAUAUAAUAUAUAUGAUAAUGCUAUACAAUGAAGAUGACGACGACGACGACACAAUAUAUAUAUUUAAUCAGCAAAAGUAGAUUACAACUCGUUUAUGACUAUAUAGUCGAAAGACACAUCUUACCUUUUUCAUUAAAGAAUAUGCCAUGUCUUUUCUUGUACUCAUGUAGCCGACCUGCGUAAAUAAUAUGUGUGGGCGCAUAUUGUAGAUGACUCAUCGUUUACUUUUUAAUACAAAUGAGAAGUCAUUAGCCAAAUAGGGCCUAGGACGUCUUUAUAGGGACAUUCUUGAUCAGAAAACGACACAUCUCUUCAAUGUCGAAUUCCAAAAGAUUUUAAUAUAAGUAAAAGAUUGUAUGUUUUUUUAACAAUUAUAUGGAAAAAGAACCAGUAUAUUUGAGUUCUAAUCUAAGUCCCAAAUACUGACCUAAUUAGGUGAUGAAUUUUAUAACUUAUAAAAUUAUUAGAUGGGUUACCAAUUUUAAUAGUAAUUAUAACAACAAUUUCAAUCACAACUACAACCAUUAAUUAUA